rnacentral:lncRNA from 1 species
AAGGGACUCAGGCGGAGUAAGCGGCCAAGGCGGGACUCAGCUCCAGAUUGCGAUUCUGGUUUGAGCCCCUUUGCGUCCUGCCCUUCCCCAGACCCGCCCUGCUGGGAGCCGGGGUCGCUGCCCACCACCGCCCCCCCACCGGGUGCGAGGGGGACAGCAAUCAAUGCCAUGAGGAGGAACGGGAGCUUCACAGCCAUGCCCUCCGACCUUCCACGUGCAACAGACGAAGGAGGAAGAGCAAUCAGCCACGCCGAGAGGAGGAGGCUGGACGUCCCGCGGGAAGGGCCAGGGCUAGAGAAGCCCAUCCAAGGAGGGAGGAGAGAGCGUGCUCCCAGGGUGAUCCUAAGAGGUAGACAGCCCCUCCUUUCUCCCAGGUGCCAAAUCUGGUAGUGAACAAAACAAAGUCUCAUGGAGCGUAUGGUGUAGCAGGGAAAGGCUAUAUGAGGACACGGGGAGAAGAGAGCCAUCUACAAGCCAAGAAGCGAGCCCUCUCCAGAAACCGAUCCUGCUGGUACCUUGAUCUUGGACUUCCAGCCUCCAGAACCAGGAGAAAAUAAAUGUCUGCUGUUUAAGCCGCUCAGUCUGUGGUUUCUUCUUAUGGCAGCCCGAGAUGACUAACACACCAGUCAUGCCGGAUUUAACAGCAGGAGACAGUGCUAACACACUGCUGAAGUGGCCCUUGAAACUUGGAGAAAGAUGGCAGAUGACAGAAGAAGGGAUCAAAAGACAGAGAAGUGGGCAUGGACCGGAGCAGGCAGAAAACCCACUGGGUGACAGCGUUCCACAAGACACCACUGAGGACGUCCCACUGACCCAGCACCGGCUUCACCAGGUAGCUCAGGGAUGGGGCUGUCCGCCAUAGGCCAGGGUGGGUGGUGGGAGGUGCCGUUACAGAACCAGGUUUGCUGAGAGAGCUGGGAAUAAGAGGAUCCAGAAAUAAGGGGCUAGGAGCCUGCACCAAACCACUGGAAGCAAGGUCAGUGCAAUCACUUUAACAAGCACCAAGGCUGGAACACAGUGAGGUCCACGGCGAGCCAUGGAGAUGCCUGAUAGAAAAUGGCACCUGGCCGGGUAUGGUGGCUCAUGCCUAUAAUCCCAGCACUUUGAAAGGCUGAGGCAGG